GGCGGGCAGCACAGGGAGUGCAGCGCUGUGCGGCCUCGGCACCCCUGCAGAACAACCUCAGCCUUCAGGACUGGGAAUUUCCAGGUUACAAUGGUUAUUUGACAGAAAGUUUCCAUUGACUCCAGAGAAUGAGUCCUGGGAAUCCCUGAUGGGGAGCCAGUGAGCAUCAGUAAUCCCAGACUUGUUUCUCAUAUAGCACAUGACACAGGAGAAGAGGUGGGUGUAUGAUCUCUCUGGCUCAGCAAGUCACAGAAGGCCAGCAAAGUCUCAAAGAUUCACAGGAGCAUUGAGGCUGGAAGGGACCUGUGGAGGUCAUCUGGCCCAGCUUCCCUACCCAAGCAGAGCCAGUUGCCCAGGACCAUCUCCAGAAGGCUUCCAAGAAUCUCCAGUGAGGGAGGCUCCACAACCUCUCUUGGCAACCUGUGCCAGUGCUUGGUCACCCCCACAGUAAAAAAGUGUUUCCUGUUCAGAGGGAACCUCUUGUGUUUCGGUUUGUGCCUGUGGC